GCAUGGCUGAAUUCUGUUUUACUCUGUCUCUAGUAAAUUCAGUCAGACACCAUGCAAGAUCAGCACCUGCUCUCAGUUCAGUUAAUGAUGGGAUCAGUCCAUUCCUAUUGCUUAUAAUGAGAGUUGGCACAUUG